rnacentral:rRNA from 1 species
ACGGGUGCGUAACGCGUGGGAAUCUGCCCUUGGGUUCGGAAUAACAGUGAGAAAUUACUGCUAAUACCGGAUGAUGUCUUCGGACCAAAGAUUUAUCGCCCAGGGAUGAGCCCGCGUAGGAUUAGCUAGUUGGUGGGGUAAUGGCCUACCAAGGCGACGAUCCUUAGCUGGUCUGAGAGGAUGAUCAGCCACACUGGGACUGAGACACGGCCCAGACUCCUACGGGAGGCAGCAGUGGGGAAUAUUGGACAAUGGGCGAAAGCCUGAUCCAGCAAUGCCGCGUGAGUGAUGAAGGCCUUAGGGUUGUAAAGCUCUUUUACCCGGGAUGAUAAUGACAGUACCGGGAGAAUAAGCUCCGGCUAACUCCGUGCCAGCAGCCGCGGUAAUACGGAGGGAGCUAGCGUUGUUCGGAAUUACUGGGCGUAAAGCGCGCGUAGGCGGCUGCUCAAGUCAGAGGUGAAAGCCCGGGGCUCAACCCCGGAACUGCCUUUGAAACUAGGUAGCUAGAAUCUUGGAGAGGUCAGUGGAAUU